rnacentral:rRNA from 1 species
GACGAACGCUGGCGGCGUGCUUAACACAUGCAAGUCGAGCGAUGAACCUUUCAUGAAUUUUUCGGAAUGAUUGGAAGAGGAUUAGCGGCGGACGGGUGAGUAACGCGUGAGCAACCUGCCUUAAACAACGGGAUAGCCUCGGGAAACCGGGAUUAAUACCGUAUGAGACCCCGCCUUCACAUGAAGAAGAGGUUAAAGAUUUAUCGGUUUAAGAUGGGCUCGCGUCUGAUUAGCCAGUUGGUGAGAUAAAAGCCCACCAAGGCAACGAUCAGUAACCGGCUUGAGAGAGUGAACGGUCACAUUGGAACUGAGACACGGUCCAAACUCCUACGGGAGGCAGCAGUGGGGAAUAUUGCACAAUGGGGGAAACCCUGAUGCAGCGACGCCGCGUGAGCGAUGAAGGAAUUCGUUUCGUAAAGCUCUGUCUAAGGGGAAGAUAAUGACAGUACCCUUGGAGGAAGCCCCGGCUAAAUACGUGCCAGCCGCCGCGGUAA